rnacentral:misc_RNA from 1 species
GCAAAGACUCCAGGAGUUGGU